rnacentral:rRNA from 1 species
AACGAACGCUGGCGGCAUGCCUAACACAUGCAAGUCGAACGAGAUCUUCGGGUCUAGUGGCGCACGGGUGCGUAACGCGUGGGAAUCUGCCCUUUGGUUCGGAAUAACAGUUGGAAACGACUGCUAAUACCGGAUGAUGACGAAAGUCCAAAGAUUUAUCGCCAGAGGAUGAGCCCGCGUAGGAUUAGCUAGUUGGUGUGGUAAAGGCGCACCAAGGCGACGAUCCUUAGUUGGUCUGAGAGGACGAUCAGCCACACUGGGACUGAGACACGGCCCAGACUCCUACGGGAGGCAGCAGUGGGGAAUAUUGGACAAUGGGCGAACGCCUGAUCCAGCAAUGCCGCGUGAGUGAUGAAGGCCUUAGGGUUGUAAAGCUCUUUUACCCGGGAUGAUAAUGACAGUACCGGGAGAAUAAGCUCCGGCUAACUCCGUGCCAGCCGCCGCCGUAA